rnacentral:rRNA from 1 species
UACGUAGGGUGCGAGCGUUAAUCGGAAUUACUGGGCGUAAAGCGCGCGCAGGCGGUUCUCCAAGUCAGUGGUGAAAGCCCGGAGCUCAACUCCGGAACUGCCAUUGAAACUGUUGAACUUGAGGACGAGAGAGGUGAGUGGAAUUCCCAGUGUAGAGGUGAAAUUCGUAGAUAUUGGGAAGAACACCGGUGGCGAAGGCGGCUCACUGGCUCGUAUCUGACGCUCAGGCGCGAUAGCGUGGGGAUCAAACAGG